rnacentral:lncRNA from 1 species
ACACCACUUGAAACAAGCAACUGCCUAGCUAAACUGGUCUGAUGCUUUACCUAUACAGCAUAGGUCGUGGGUUCGAAGCUGCAUUGCUUCAUUUAUUGUUCAAAAUUUUUGUGACCUCUUUGAAGCAAAGAUGAAUUUUAGCCAGCCGAUCAGCAAUCAAUUUGCUUCAUUUUUGUGACAAUAAAUUACUAGGCUUAUAAGUUGUACGUACUAUUUGUUCCAAUAAAAUUGAUUAAGAACAUCAAACGAACUUUUAGUAAUUAGGCACGUAGUAUUUUUUCCAAUAAAAUUGAUUAAGAACAUCAAACGAACUUUUAGUAAUUAGGCACUUUAUACAGAAAAAUAAUAUUUAGUAAUUUUUCUAAUGAAGUUUGAAUACUUUUCUAAAAACAAAAUUCAUCGAAAAGAAUUUUAAUAUAUUUGGGUUGUGUU